AAUCAACGCUGGCGGCGUGCCUCAGACAUGCAAGUCGAACGAUUAAAGCUCUCUUCGGAGAGUGUAUAGAGUGGCGCACGGGUGAGUAACACGUAAGUAAUCUACCUUUGAGUGGGGAAUAACAGUCGGAAACGAUUGCUAAUACCGCAUAAUGCAGCGGCAUCGCAAGAUGACAGUUGUUAAAGGAGCAAUCCGCUUAAAGAGGAGCCUGCGGCAGAUUAGCUUGUUGGUAAGGUAACGGCUUACCAAGGCUACGAUCUGUAUCCGGUCUAAGAGGACGGUCGGACACACUGACACUGAAUAACGGGUCAGACUCCUACGGGAGGCAGCAGUCGGGAAUUUUGGGCAAUGGGCGAAAGCCUGACCCAGCAACGCCGCGUGAAGGAUGAAGUAUUUCGGUAUGUAAACUUCGAAAGAAUAGGAAGAAUAAAUGACGGUACUAUUUAUAAGCUCCGGCUAACUACGUGCCAGCA
rnacentral:rRNA from 1 species